GACGAACGCUGGCGGCGUGCUUAACACAUGCAAGUCGAACGGAAAGGCCCUGCUUUUGUGGGGUGCUCGAGUGGCGAACGGGUGAGUAACACGUGAGUAACCUGCCCUUGACUUUGGGAUAACUUCAGGAAACUGGGGCUAAUACCGGAUAGGAGCUCCUGCUGCAUGGUGGGGGUUGGAAAGUUUCGGCGGUUGGGGAUGGACUCGCGGCUUAUCGGCUUGUUGGUGGGGUAGUGGCUUACCAAGGCUUUGACGGGUAGCCGGCCUGAGAGGGUGACCGGCCACAUUGGGACUGAGAUACGGCCCAGACUGCUACGGGAGGCAGCAGUGGGGAAUAUUGCACAAUGGGCGGAAGCCUGAUGCAGCAACGCCGCGUGCGGGAUGACGGCCUUCGGGUUGUAAACCGCUUUCGCCUGUGACGAAGCGUGAGUGACGGUAAUGGGUAAAGAAGCACCGGCUAACUACGUG
rnacentral:rRNA from 1 species